CGGGAGGCAGCAGUGGGGGAAUAUUGCACAAUGGGGGAAACCCNGAUGCAGCCAUGCCGCGUGUGUGAAGAAGGCCUUCGGGUUGUAAAGCACUUUCAGUAGGGAGGAAAGGGUGUAACUUAAUACGUUAUAUCUGUGACGUUACCUACAGAAGAAGGACCGGCUAACUCCGUGCCAGCAGCCGCGGUAAUACGGAGGGUCCGAGCGUUAAUCGGAAUUACUGGGCGUAAAGCGUGCGCAGGCGGUUUGUUAAGCGAGAUGUGAAAGCCCUGGGCUCAACCUAGGAAUAGCAUUUCGAACUGGCGAACUAGAGUCUUGUAGAGGGGGGUAGAAUUCCAGGUGUAGCGGUGAAAUGCGUAGAGAUCUGGAGGAAUACCGGUGGCGAAGGCGGCCCCCUGGACAAAGACUGACGCUCAUGCACGAAAGCGUGGGGAGCAAACAGGAUUAGAUACCCUGGUAGUCCACGCCGUAAACGAUGUCUACUCGGAGUUUGGUGUCUUGAACACUGGGCUCUCAAGCUAACGCAUUAAGUAGACCGCCUGGGGAGUACGGCCGCAAGGUUAAAACUCAAAUGAAUUGACGGGGGCCCGCACAAGCGGUGGAGCAUGUGGUUUAAUUCGAUGCAACGCGAAGAACCUUACCUACUCUUGACAUCCAGAGAAUUCGCUAGAGAUAGCUUAGUGCCUUCGGGAACUNUGAGACAGGUGCUGCAUG
rnacentral:rRNA from 1 species